UCCUACGGGGCGCAGCAGUGGGGAAUAUUGCACAAUGGGGGAAACCCUGAUGCAGCAACGCCGCGUGAGUGAAGAAGUAUUUCGGUAUGUAAAGCUCUAUCAGCAGGGAAGAAGAAAGACGGUACCUGACUAAGAAGCCCCGGCUAACUACGUGCCAGCAGCCGCGGUAAUACGUAGGGGGCAAGCGUUAUCCGGAUUUACUGGGUGUAAAGGGAGCGUAGACGGCGGCGCAAGUCUGAAGUGAAAGCCCGUGGCUCAACCGCGGAACCGCUUUGGAAACUGCGAGGCUGGAGUGCUGGAGAGGG
rnacentral:rRNA from 1 species